rnacentral:rRNA from 1 species
UAAAGCAUCCGUAGCUGGCUGUUCAAGUCCCCUGUUAAAUCCACCGAUUUAAUCGUUGGUGUGCGGGGGAUACUGCUCGGCUAGGGGACGAGAGAGGCAGACGGUAUUUUCGGGGUAGGGGUGAAAUCCUAUAAUCCCGGGAAGACCACCAGUGGCGAAGGCUGUCUGCUAGAACGCGCCCGACGGUGAGGGAUGAAAGCUGGGGGAGCGAACCGGAUUAGAUACCCGGGUAGUCCCAGCUGUAAACUAUGCAGGCUAGGUGUUUGGGCGGCUACGUGCCGCUCUAGUGCCGCAGGGAAGCUGUUAAGCCUGCCGCCUGGGGAGUACGAUCGCAAGAUUGAAACUUAAGGGAAUUGGCGGGGGAGCACCACAAGGGGUGAAGCUUGCGGUUUAAUUGGAGUCAACGCCGGAAAUCUCACCGGGAGCGACAGCAGUGUGAAGGCCAGAUUAAAGGUCUUGCUGGACGAGCUGAGAGGAGGUGCAUGGCCGUCGCCAGUUCGUGCCGUGAGGUGUCCUGUUAAGUCAGGCAACGAUCGAGACCCGCGUCCUCUGUUGCUACCAGUCUUGUGCUGGGCACACUGAGGAGACCGCCGCUGAUAAAGCGGAGGAAGGAGCGGGCCACGGCAGGUCAGUAUGCCCCGAAUCUCCCGGGCCACACGCGAGCUGCAAUGGCAGGUACAGUGAGUUCCGACCUUGAAAGGGGGAGGCAAUCUCGAAAGCUUGCCGUAGUUGGGAUCGAAGGCUGAAACCCGCCUUCGUGAACAU